GUCCGUUCGUAUCCGCGUUUUAUCCUAACCCCACAACUUACUUCGUUAUUUUGCUUUGUCUAACAUUUAAGUCCAAUGAUUUAACCCAUCAAGGGUUUUGUGUUGGCAAAUUAUCUGAAAGCUUGUAUGUCUUGUUGAUUGAUGUAAAUAAUUUGUUAUUUUACUCUGCCUAUACUCAUUAAGGUUAAAGGUUGUGUGUGACCUUUGGGAUUGAAAAGAGUACAACUAUUGACAGGCACUGGUUACCAAAACUCUGUUAAUUUUCUUUUAUUUUCACAGAUUCCGAGUUGUACAACAAAUUAAUCACGAAGUACAUGCCAAAGUUUCCGUAUCUUUUCCAACUUCAAGAUUCAACUACAACAAACCAUGAAAUGAAUGACUGGGAUUGAUAAAACAGCAAGAAUAUCUCUUUGUAAAUUUUGUAUUAAUUUGGAAUUGAACUGAAUGUCAUCUUACUGUACAGUUCAACAAGUUUUUGAAGACGAUCUGACGAUGUAAUUUACGUAUAGGUUACUUCUACAAACUGGAACACAUUGUAUGACAUAUUUAAAACAUAUACAGUAUGUGUGAUUUGGAUUGAGUAUUGUCCUAUAGCUAUAUUUUUCAUGUAACCCAAUAUGCUGCAAAGCACCCAAAUACGCCUGACCUUAUAAUUUACUCUGUCUAAUGUCAGACAAUUUUACUUGUCAAGGGAGACCAUUGUAUGGGUUGAGUACUACUCCCACAAUCAAAUGUUCCUCGUCAUAAAUUGUAUUGUUGAAUGUCAUAUCAGUCAUAACUCAGGGACGGAUCCCGUCUGAUUUAUUUAGGAGGUGGAGGUUUUCCAGAGGGGGUCCGGGGGCAUUCUCCCCUAGAAAAUAUUUGAAAUGUGAAGCCUGGAAAUGCCAUUUCCUGCAUUCUGAGCACUACGUUUAUUUGUUAAAUUUGUCCUCACAGUACUUGUAUUUCGGGCAAAAAUUAAGAAAAGUGCUACGUUAUAUGGUGACCCACCGUAUCGCCUACUGGUGCUCGAAUAUUUUCUCGCACACCGGUAUUCGAAAAUCGGAAUUGCGUUAAUGAGUCAGAAUAGAAAGAAUUAUAAUCUUAUUGCCUACAUGUUCAGUUUUCUCAUUUUUUGUGCUGCAAAGACAUUACAGGUGAAUAUUAGAGGGGAAUUGAUUAGAGA